CCCGAGUUGGUGGGUGUAAUGGUAACAUGUCCGGUAACUGCAGCGGGUAGGUUCUGAACCUACUUGCCCUUCGGGGGGUCGGAAGUCCCAGGUUCAACUCCUGGACUUGGGG
rnacentral:tRNA from 1 species